rnacentral:rRNA from 1 species
GAUGAACGCUGGCGGCGUGCCUAAUACAUGCAAGUCGAGCGAACGGACGAGAAGCUUGCUUUUCUGAUGUUAGCGACGGACGGGUGAGUAACACGUGGAUAACCUACCUAUAAGACUGGGAUAACUUCGGGAAACCGGAGCUAAUACCGGAUAAUAUUUUGAACCGCAUGGUUCAAAAGUGAAAGACGGUCUUGCUGUCACUUAUAGAUGGAUCCGCGCUGCAUUAGCUAGUUGGUAAGGUAACGGCUUACCAAGGCAACGAUGCAUAGCCGACCUGAGAGGGUGAUCGGCCACACUGGAACUGAGACACGGUCCAGACUCCUACGGGAGGCAGCAGUAGGGAAUCUUCCGCAAUGGGCGAAAGCCUGACGGAGCAACGCCGCGUGAGUGAUGAAGGCCUUCGGAUCGUAAAACUCUGUUAUUAGGGAAGAACAUAUGUGUAAGUAACUGUGCACAUCUUGACGGUACCUAAUCAGAAAGCCACGGCUAACUACGUG